rnacentral:pre_miRNA from 1 species
AUAAUACUCUCUCCGUUUCAAAUUACUCGUCACAAAAAUGGAUGUAUCUAAAACUAAAAUACAUUUAGAUACAUCCAUACUUGCGACAAAUAAUUCGGAACGGAGGGAGCAGAAG